AGGACGAACGCUGGCGGCGUGCUUAACACAUGCAAGUCGAGCGGUAAGGCCCUUCGGGGUACACGAGCGGCGAACGGGUGAGUAACACGUGGGUGACCUGCCCUCCACUUCGGGAUAAGCCUGGGAAACUGGGUCUAAUACCGGAUAUGACUUCUGGGUGCAUGCCUGGUUGUGGAAAGUUUUUUCGGCUGGGGAUGGGCCCGCGGCCUAUCAGCUUGUUGGUGGGGUGAUGGCCUACCAAGGCGACGACGGGUA
rnacentral:rRNA from 1 species